AUUGAACGCUGGCGGCAGGCCUAACACAUGCAAGUCGAACGAGUGGCGGACGGGUGAGUAAUGUCUGGGAAACUGCCUGAUGGAGGGGGAUAACUACUGGAAACGGUAGCUAAUACCGCAUAUCAGCAGAUGUGCCCAGAUGGGAUUAGCUAGGUGGUGGGGUAACGGCCCACAAAGGAGACGAGCCCUAGCUGGUCUGAGAGGAUGACCACCCAGACUGGAACUGAGACACGGUCCAGACUCCUACGGGAGGCAGCAGUGGGGAAGAUUGCACAAUGGGCGCAAGCCUGAUGCAGCCAUGCCGCGUGUAUGAAGAAGGCCUUCGGGUUGUAAAGUACUUUCAGCGGGGAGGCGUUACCCGCAGAAGAAGCACCGGCUAACUCCGUGCCAGCCGCCGCGGUAAUUC
rnacentral:rRNA from 1 species